GCUAAAUAAAAAUAGCAGAAAAAUGCAUUCUUUUUAUAAAAAAAUAAUGAGACUCCAGCUUAACUCUGGGAUAAGCUAUUUGGUGAUAGACACAGUACCUGGACCGGGCAGAGGAGUGGAAUCCAAAGAUAAAGUUAGGAGAACGUACUUCAAGGGGAAAUUUGUCCUUUCACUUGUGGUAUCAUAGUCUUUCAUGGAUCCCAUGCUGUUGUCUGUUUAUUUCUCCUUAAACAAGGAAAAAUAUACCCAGACCCAGUUUUCAUCAACAGACCAGCCCAUGGCAACCAUCACUCUACUUUCUGUCUCUAUGAAUUUGAAUACUCUGGGUAACCUCAUUCUGGGAUGAUAUGAAACCUUGCAGACGACAUGCAUGGAUCAACUCAUGAGACAGUAAAUCACUCAAAAUCUUACUACAAAAGACAACGUCCUUAUUUGCUUUUACAGAAAAAGGGCAUCUGUUGGAGGCUGGAGGAUCUACUGUCAAGAUGACUCACUCUUAUGACUAGCAGGUUGGUGCUGACUUUCAACUUGGAGAUCCGUAAGGCUAUGGGCCAGAGCCUUUGGUUCAGCUCCUUGAGGGCAUCUUCAUGAGACCACUACGGGCAACUCUCCAUCUAUCCCUCCUGAUUCCUUUAUGGACAACUCUCCAUCUAUUCCACCUGAUUCCUCUAUGGACAACUCUCCAUCUAUUCCGCCUGAUUCCUCCAUGGGCAACUGUCCAUGUAUUCCACCUGACUCCCAGCUAGGCUGCAUCCUCCACCAUUGGAAUCAAUUUGACCCUGACAACCUAAAAAGAAAACUGUGAUGAUUAAUACUGAGUGUCAACUUGAUUGGAUAGAAGGAUGCAAAGUAUUGAUCCUGGAUGUGUCUGUGAGGGUAUUGCCAAAGGAGAUUAACAUUUGAGUCAGUGGGCUGGGAAAGGCAGACCCACUCUUAAUCUGGGUGGGCACCAUCUAAUUAGCUGCCAGCAUGGCUAGAAUAUAAAGCAGGCAGAAAAACAUGAAAAAACUAGAUUGGCCUAGCCUCCCGGCAUACAUCUUUCUCCUGUGCUGGAUGAUUCCUGCCUUUGAACAUCGGACUCCAAGUUCUUCAGUUUUGGGACUCACACUGGCUUUCCUUGUUCUUCAGCUUGCAGACAGUCUAUUGUGGGAUGUGGUGAUCGUGUGAGUUAAUACUACUUAAUAAACUCAUACGUAUAAUAUAUAUCAUAUAUAUGAUAUAUAUGAUAUAUAUAUCAUAUAUAUGAUAUAUAUAUGAUAUAUAUAUAUCAUAUAUAUAUCAUAUAUAUAUAUUCUAUUCAGUCCCUCUACAGAGCCCUGACUAAUACAGAUUUUGGUACCAGGAGUGGUUCUAGAAGAGCAGAAUAUUAAGGCUGGAGUUCUUUCAUUGGUUUUGGGGUUUCUGGAGUUGGCUGCUUAAUAUGAUUAGACCCAAAAAUGCUAAGGACUCUACUUCUAAUAGUAUAGAGAACACUAAUAGUCCUUGGCAUAAACCAUUUAGAGAGUUAUGCAAAAUAAAUGCAUUUGAAAAUCCUGGUUCACUGCUCAUGAGAAGCAAGGAAUUUAGCAACUCUGUACAUAAUACCUUUGAUCGUAUGUGGAAAACCAAGGAACAUAAUAAAGCUGGUCGGUUGCUCCUAAGUUCACUGAAUAAAGUGAUGAAAGAAAGUAAUGAACUCAGGGAUUCUAACUCCCUCCCAGCUUCAGAAGCAGAUAUUGAGCCUCAAAUCUGCUAAGAUUGCCCUGAGUGAGAGUCUUAUCUUCUGUAGAGAAAUAGCUGAAACUAUGGAAAAACAGACACAAGUCCUUAUCAUGUGAGUGGCUGACCUGCAACGAAAAGUGCAUGCACACACUCGCCAGGUGCCUACUGUUAAAGUGAGGGCAUUGACUGGAAAAGAAUAGGAUCCUGCAAGUUGGAGUGGGGACAUGUGGGAGGACCCUGAUAAAGCUGGGGACACUGAACUUGUAUACUCUGAUGAAUGUUUUUUGCCGGAAGAAACAGCUUGCCUAUCCCCAGUAGUGGCAACUACUGGGAUGUGAGAUAGUGGUGGAAGG
rnacentral:lncRNA from 1 species